UGAGGUCGCCGUUGACGGCGGCGGAGGCGAUGUUGGACGCCUGUGCGACGAGGAUACCAGCCAUGUACCUUGUAACGUCUGGGUGGAAGCAGACGAGGGCGGUGUCACU
rnacentral:SRP_RNA from 11 species